UUCUCUUUUUUUUCUUUGUUCUUUUUUUUAAAAUUUGUUUAUUCAUCUCUCUCUUUUUUUCUUUUUUUCUUUUUUCAAGUAUACAAAAUUAAUCACGUCGAGCCUAUCAUGAAGAUGACGAUGCUUAUCACGAAGAUAGCAACGAUCGAAUCGAACGAAGAUGGCGAAUCAGAACAGUUUUUGUCCAUUUUUUUAUUAUCAUUUUCAUUAUUAUUUUAUUUUUAUCACGUUUUGUUCAAGUAGGCGGAGUUUAAUCGUGUCGAGCCUAUCACGAAGAUGGCCGCUCGAUUAAUUCUUUCGACCAUGUCGAGCCUAUUGCGAAGAUGGCCGCACGGUUUAUCUAGUAAAAUAAACGGUGUUCGAUCAAACUUUUCGACCCUAUCGCGAAGAUGGCUGCACGGUUUACGUAGUAAAAUAUCCGAUGUUCAAUCAACAAUUUCGACCAUGUCGAGCCUAUCACGAAUAUGGCCGCACGGUUUAGAGAUUAGCGAUGCAUACGCACGGCAGAGUGACGAUUUGAUGUCAAAUUUGAUCGGUUCGAAACCUAUCACGAAGAUGGUCGGGUUGAUCAAACCGACAAAAAAUCGCACUUAUGCUAUUCGUAUAUAUGCAUUUCUCUUAUUGUCAUAAAAGUCGUCGUGAUCGUCGUUGUCGUUGGAUGCAAGAACCGAAGUCUUUUUUUUUUUUCCCUUUUUCUCUCGGGUUCUUCUUCUUCUUCUUUUUUUUCUCUCUUUUUUUUUUGCUCUCCAAUCUUCUUUCUUCUUUUUGCUAAAAAAAUUCUCUAGCCCUUUUUUCGAAAUUUGGAUCUUAUUUUAUAUAGGAUUCAAACAUGAUUCCCAUUUGAGAAUAAUUUAAAGAUCAACUUAUUGAGGAAAUAAGGCUCAAUCAACUAAUUAUACUUCUUUUGUUUUUUUUUUAAUACUUUCCCUCUUUUCUUUUCUCUCUCUCUCUUUCUUUUUUCUUUUUCUUUUUUUUUUGGAAGGAAAGAGGUGGACAUCCUUUCUUUCCUUUUUAUUCUUUUUUUUUCUUCUUUUUUUUUUACUCAAUUGGAAAGAGGGGGUGGGAUAUAUAUAUAUAUAUAUGUUUGAGUAAAAAAAAUAAUAAAAAAAAAGAAAAGAUGUAAAGAUUUAAUAUAUAUAUAUAUAUAUAUAUAUAUAUAUAUAGAGAGAGAGAGAGAGAGAGAGAGAGAGAGAGAGAGAGUCUAAAUACUAUACUAUUAUUAGCAUGAAAACCUCUGCAUUACUAAGUUGUUUUCGAUGAUGCGGCUCUGACUCGAUAAUUGGCUUUGGUAGACUUUAUCUACACCAUUAAAAGUAUUUGAAAUUAAAUUUUAUAAUUUUUCGUCAUUAUUUACCUAUGAAACGAAUAGUCUAAAGUUAACGAUUGAAAUUAAAAUUUCAUAAAAAUAAGAUAAAAGAUUUCAAUUCAAGAUCAAAGGUAUUGAUUUUACUCUAAAUAGUGAAAAGAAUUUUCUAUAAAAUUUUCAUCGGAUUUGAAUUAUUUUAAACCGUUCAAUUUACAAACGCAUCAAAUCGGCCAUUAAAAGUUUUAAUUUUGAAAUAUUUUGACUAUUAAUCAAAUAAUAUCGAAAAAUUAUAAAAUUUGGUUUCUAAAUAUUUCCAAUACCAUAGAUCUAAUGGCCGAAAAUUUAUGAGUAUAUAUACUAUUUACUGCAAGAUCAAUAUCUCUGGUCAGCAAUUUUAUUGUCAUAUCAUCAUUUUUUGUGAGAUUUUUAUUUUCAGUAAUUUAUUUUAAACCCUUUUGAUCGCUAGGUAAAUGAUAUUGAAAAAUUGUAAAAUUUAUUUUCUAAACACUUCAAAUACGUUCGAUCAAGUCUAAUGGAGCCGAUCCACUACAACAAAAACGGUAUAUAGCAACACUUUUAAAUGUCGGUACAGUUCAAAAAAAGUGCUGCUAACUAAAUUAUUGACACUUUUUAAAAGUGUUGCUUUAUGUGGGGUCGCUAUAGGCAGGGCCGCCUUGAUAUUUGGUACCUACUCCUCCAAUGACCUAUGGCGGAGGGAUACGUGGUAAUCAUAGCCCUCUACGGUCCCUGCGAGAUCCUCACUGCCGAACUCCAGUCGCCGAAACUUGGCUACGUCAGCGGAGAAGGAAAAUGGGAGAUGGUAAUCAAUUUUUCUUUUUUUUUUCUAUUUUUUAUUUGUGAUCGGACCGAGUGGGCUGGAUACGGUUGGUUAAGUAGAGGAACUUUUUGUUUUUGAUUUGAUUGGGCUUUAUAUUUAAGCCUUAAUAGAUUUUU
rnacentral:lncRNA from 1 species